rnacentral:tRNA from 1 species
UUGUUAGAAGCCAAAUUAGAGGCGUAUCACUGUUAAUGAUAUAAUUGAAUUUAUUAUUCCUAUCAAG